CUUGAUUUUCCAAGUGCAGUUUGGUGUCUUGCAGCUCAGCUGCCAGCCGCUGACAUUUCUUCUUCAGCUGCUGGACUGAUCGCUGGGACUCCUCGUGGUCUGCCUGCAAGUCUGUUAACUACACAGAGAGACAGGAAGAAUCAUCGCCAUCAUUGUCCACCUCGCCGUUGAGUUCUGAUGCUUGGAGGAGUCUGGCCUCCAUAAUCUCCAUCUCCAUGGACUCCAUCUGUUUCUUCACAUCGUCAAACUUCACCUGAGUUUCAGAAAAAGAAAAGCAAAGGGCCAUAGUAACUGAAGAGUCGCUGCAGGAGUGUUUCCUCUGACCCUCCCGGCUGCACAACCUCCUCCUCCAUCAGCCAGAACAGGCCUCUGGCCUCAUCUGUCCGGGACAGAGAAGCGCGUCUCACCAGGGUCUGACUGGAGGACUGAUCAACCACAGCUACUGAGCGAGAAGGGCUGGGCUCCAGGUCAUCCAGUGUGAUCUCAAUGUUUUCCUAUGGAAAGACAGAUACAGUUAUUAAAAUGAAUAAAUAAUGAAUAAUUUGCAAAGACGCUAACUGUAAGAUGCUAAGGUCUCUAUAAAAAUAUUAAGCAGCACAACUGUUGAUUGAUAAUAAUAAUAAAAAAAAGUUUACAUUUAACAUUCAUAAUAUAAUUACUGAUUAACAAAUUAACUGUCUGUCUAAGUAUGGUGUCACAGACGUCUUUGGUCAUUUUAAGCACCAGCUUGUGCCUUUGUUUUUCAAGGUUCUAUGUGAAAAGUAGUUCAAGUUUUGAAAGAGCCAUUCACACCCCCUGCAAUACAUUUUAUUGCAUUCUUUUUAUAAUUAGUUGUAGUAAAAUUUCAGA